rnacentral:rRNA from 1 species
UACGUAGGGCGCAAGCGUUUGUCCGGAAUUAUUGGGCGUAAAGAGCUCGUAGGCGGCUUGUCACGUCGGGUGUGAAAGCCCGGGGCUUAACCCCGGGUCUGCAUUCGAUACGGGCAGGCUAGAGUGUGGUAGGGGAGAUCGGAAUUCCUGGUGUAGCGGUGAAAUGCGUAGAUAUCUGGAGGAACACCGAUGGCGAAGGCAGGUCUCUGGGCCACUACUGACGCUGAGAAGCGAAAGCAUGGGGAGCGAACAGG